GCGGGGGUGCCCGAGCCUGGUCAAAGGGGGCGGACUUAAGAUCCGCUGGCGAAGGCCUGCGUGGGUUCGAAUCCCACCCCCCGCACCA
rnacentral:tRNA from 2 species